rnacentral:rRNA from 1 species
UACGAAGGGGGCUAGCGUUGCUCGGAUUGACUGGGCGUAAAGGGCGCGUAGGCGGUUCGUACAGUCAGACGUGAAAUUCCUGGGCUCAACCUGGGGCUGCGUUUGAUACGUGCGGACUUGAGUGCGGAAGAGGGUCGUGGAAUUCCCAGUGUAGAGGUGAAAUUCGUAGAUAUUGGGAAGAACACCGGUGGCGAAGGCGGCGACCUGGUCCGAUACUGACGCUGAGGCGCGAAAGCGUGGGAGCAACA